UACGUAGGGUGCAGGCGUUAAUCGGAAUUACUGGGCGUAAAGCGUGCGCAGGCGGUUUCUUAAGUCAGAUGUGAAAGCCCCGGGCUUAACCUGGGAACUGCGUUUGAAACUGGGAGACUUGAGUGUGGCAGAGGGGGGUGGAAUUCCACGUGUAGCAGUGAAAUGUGUAGAUAUGUGGAGGAACACCAAUGGCGAAGGCAGCCCCCUGGGUCAACACUGACGCUCAUGCACGAAAGCGUGGGGAGCAAACAGG
rnacentral:rRNA from 1 species